AUGAUCUGUGGCUAAUAUGGCGUCUCUCUGCCCUUCCUUUGCAGUAACCCAUGGCUGUGUACUGAAUAGUAUGCCCUGCUACAGCUGGACUGGACUCCACUUAGCCUUUUAAGCGAAGGUUCUUAUUUUAACUGACAACUUUUUUUAAAAUGGUGCCAGACAGCUGGGCCCUCCACCCCUGCUCUGGUACUUCAAGCAUUUUGGUUUUUUUGUUUUGUUUUGUUUUGUUUUUUGAGUUCUGCAACUUGCUUCUGCCUUCCAGUCCCACUGGCACGGACCAUGACCUUCUUCUUUUUUCUUGUUAUAAAGGUGGCUGUAUGAUCACUACCUCUAAAGAAAUUCAAGGUGAUAAUAAAUUUACAGGCCUUCUGAACUGUUACGAAAAGGCAGGGGCCAUUGUCUACAGUCAUAGUUAAUAACUUAAACCUAAGACUAAGCCCAAAGCAGAACUAGUUAAAGGCAAGCAAGUCUAUGUGCGAACUUUCUCUUUUCUAGUUGGCAAAGAAGUGGUUUUGAUGCGUACUGGCCAGCGGACAGAGGCAAGUACAGGGUGACAAUGUGAAAGCAUGUGGUUGUCCUUGAGGAAAGCCAAC
rnacentral:lncRNA from 1 species